rnacentral:rRNA from 1 species
CCUACGGGAGGCAGCAGUGAGGAAUAUUGGUCAAUGGUCGGGAGACUGAACCAGCCAAGCCGCGUGAGGGAGGAAGGCACAGCGGAUCGUAAACCUCUUUUGUCAGGGAACAAAGACUGGGACGCGUCCCCGGUUGAGUGUACCCGAAGAAAAAGCAUCGGCUAACCUCGUGCCAGCAGCCGCGGUAAUACGGAGGAUGCUAGCUUUAUCCGGAUUUAUUGGGUUUUAAGGGUGCGCAGGCGGUCUGUUAAGCCAGCGGUAAAAGGCCGGGGCUCAACCCCGGCCCGCCGUUGAAACUGGCAGUCUCGAGUGGGCGAGAAGUAUGCGGAAUGCGCGGUGUAGCGGUGAAAUGCAUAGAUAUCGCGCAGAACUCCGAUUGCGAAGGCAGCAUGCCGGCUCCACACUGACGCUGAGGCACGAAAGCGUGGGUAUCGAACAGGAUUAGAUACCCGGGUAGUC